AUUCCAGCUCCAAUAGCGUAUAUUAAUGUUGUUGCAGUUAAAAAGCUCGUAGUUGAAUUUCUGGUUAAAAUCUUAGCUGGCUUUGGUCGUUAAUGUUUUAAUCAUCCGUUAGAGAACUAUAACCGUCCUUAACUGGUCAUUAUAGAGAUCUAACAUUUUAUUUUGAAAAAAUUAGAGUGUUCAAGGCAGGCAAUCGUCAUGAAUACUAUAGCAUGGAAUAAUGGAAUAGGACUUUGGUUCAUUUUAUUGGUUAUUGAACCUUAGUAAUGAUUAACAGGGACAGUUGGGGGCAUUAGUAUUUAAUUGUCAGAGGUGAAAUUCUUGGAUUUAUUAAAGACUAACUACUGCGAAAGCAUUUGCCAAGGAUGUUUUCAUUG
rnacentral:rRNA from 1 species